rnacentral:miRNA from 1 species
AGUCGGUAGAGCAUCAGACUUUUAAUCUGAGGGUCCAGGGUUCAAGUCCCUGUUCGGGCGGGAGUGGUGGCUUUUAGUACCUGAU